rnacentral:sRNA from 1 species
GCCAACCUACCUAUCGCUGCCAACCUAUCUACCACUGCCAAUCUACCUACCGCUGCCAACCUACCUACCACUGCUAAUCUAUCACUGCUAAUCUAUCGCUGCUAAUCUAUUGCUGCUAAUCUAUCUAUCACUGCUAAUCUAUUGCUGCCAACCUACCUACCGCUGCCAACCUAUCUACCACUGCCAAUCUACCUACCGCUGCCAACCUACCUACCACUGCUAAUCUAUCACUGCUAAUCUAUCGCUGCCAACCUACCUACCGCUGCCAACCUACCUACCGCUGCCAACCUACCUACCACUGCUAAUCUAUCACUGCUAAUCUAUCGCUGCCAACCUAUAUAGGGUAAAUCAUGGUCCCAUUUGGUCCCAUUUUGUAAAAUGGGACCAAAUGGGACUGGGACCACUAAUUUAUUAGUAAAACAUGAUCUGGGACUAGAUUUAUAAUAUAAACAGUGUAAAGUGACUAAUUUACUAAACACUAUAUGGGACCAGGACUAAGAUAUCUAAUAAUGGGACUGAGGAAAAAUUUGGUCCCAGUCCCAUGCAUGGUCACACGGCCAGUCUACUCUUCAUUUCUUCAUUAUUAUUAUAGAUGUAUAUAUAUUAUUAUUAUAGAGUUAGAUCU